UACUUGUAUAUGAUUUUUGAGGAAUUUCUUCUGAUUUUUGUUCUUCAUUGUUAGCCCGAUAUUCCAUUUUGGUACAACAAUAGGGUUCCUACAGGAACCCGAACGAAUGCGAGUUGUCCAUUUUGGAACCUCACAGUGGAAGAGACAGAUCCAGAAGACACUCAGCAAAUUUCAAUCGAGUACUACGGGGAUGAACUUCUAGCGCGGCAGAAGAGGACUAGGUUGAGGCGCUACGAUCCAAACAUCAUCAAAUGUUUAGGUCUGAAACGAGAUCCACUUACAGCAAGAGGAGAUCGACCUACAAGGUUGGUCAUGGAGAGAAUUCACUCCUCAUUUGAGGAUUGGCUAAACAAUCAACCGCGUGAAGGCCUUUGGGUGGUGGAUGGUAGACCUGGCAGAUCGCAAGUUUUAGCUGCCUCAAAUCAUCUUCUGCGUGUAUUCCUGGGAAUAAUUGAAGGUUUAGACCAAUUUAUUGAGAAAGAGGGAUACUAUGGAGGCAACCUACUGAGGAGCUUAUCAAUUUCAGAAGAAGGGGAAGUUAAGCUGACCGAACCUUUGACUUUUCCAGAAGAGGAUCAGUUUAAUGCAUUAAGGGGAGAUAUAAUCCAAUUCAGAGAUUUGGUUGCCUUGGCUGCAAGGGGAUUCCCUGGUAUGAUUGGAUUUGCUCGGCCCAAUGUGAUAUCUUUGUUCGAGGACUUGGUAUCUUGGUUAAUCGGCCGAUGCCAAACAGUGGAUGACUUGAAGGAAGAUUAUUCAUUCAUUUCUUGUUUGGUUCAUUUUUUUUUCAAUAAUAUUUAUAAUAACAUUUUAUUUAUGUGAUUAGGGUCCUGUGGUUCUUCUUUAAGACAAAUCCAUUGUUCUAUAACAAUGAGAAAAGAUAUCAUUUUGUGCGUAAAACAUCCAUGAUGGUAAAGAUGGAAAUGAAGGAGUAUUAUUUCCUUAACCGAGUCCGCUUGGUCCAGCCGUCGACAAAUUUUACAUAUUGGUACAAUGAAGCGAAGAAAGAGCCAGUGCUAUUUGAAAUCCUAUCACAUAAUAGUGACGGUGCAAAUAAGAGUUAUUACCCACCUUAUGCCGCUCUCGAAUUCCAAAGGAAUGGGUAUGAGCAUUUGCUUGAGAAGGGGUGGACUUUUAUCCAAAUUUCAGACUUGCUUUUCUGGCAUUUUCCAGAUUUCGUUCCAAAAUUUUUCUAUGAAAUGGUGGAGAACUUUUAUGGUAUAACUGAUAAUGAUGAGAGGGUUAGUUGCCUACGAACCUUGAAAGAUCCACCAUACCCACUCGGGAACUAGUAUAUUGGGAGCCUUUUUGCAGUUUUUCAGCAUUUUGGAAAAGAGAUUGAUUUUCAUCAGAGGCGGCGGGUUGGAGAUUGGCUGGUAGAUAGUACUUAUUAAUUGUAACGAGGAGAUUGGCUGGUAUAUGUAUGGUUGCAGAGGUGAUGCAAAAGCUAUAGUAGGGUUAGUGUAUUGAAAACAAGAAUAUUUCUAAUUUGGGAACUUGGUUUCUUCAAUUUUAGAGAAAGAAGACAAUAAUCAAACUAUUGGGUCAGUUUGAUUAAAAAAAAAACCUAUUGGGUGAGUCAAAAUUUUUGUUCAUAUGAUUUUUGUUCAUCUUUUAAAGAUGUUUGGAGUGGGAUGCCUAGAUUUUGGAAUAUAAAUAUCAGUUUCUCCAGAAUCACUCCUAUUCAUGCACUUCUAGAUUACAACUAAUUGGCCACACCAAGAAUAUGUAUAUAUAUAUAUACACACACACAUAAGCAUGUUAGCUUUCAAGAAAGUACCUCUGGAUUGGUCAAGGAUCUAUGCUUAAAAUCCACUUUGAUUCUUCCAAAUUCUCAAAAAUAAAAAGUACACAAAAUUAAGGAGAAAAAAAAAAUCAGUGAACGACUUAAGAAUUUUGCAGGUCUUCAAAUUGAAAGUUCCAGAUAUGAGAGAGAAAUGGGUAUCGGUGAGAGUAACUAAUGAGGGCAAAAUUGACAUUUUAGAUUGUUGAUAUUUUAAAAUAAAAAAGUAUUAAAAAAUUAGUGAUAAAAAAGUCUUUUUAACACAAUUUUAAAAUUGAACUUAAGUGAUAAUAAUUUUUAAAAGGUAUUUUUAUGUGAUAUUUGGUUAAACUUGAGGGGUGUCAGUGAAAUUAAUUAUUUUUUCUAAUUAAAUGUAAUUGGGAAUAAUUAUAACAAAGGACACUUGUAAAGUCUAUAAGGUGGAGGAGUGCUAAAAAAACAGAAAAAAGAUGAGAAAAGGAAAGACUCAACAUAAAACUAAAGUCUAUCGGAUUCCACACUCAUUCAAGACUUGAUGCUUUGAAGACCUGCAUCAAACCUUCAAAGCUUUGAAGACGUUUUACAAAUUAUAAGUGUUGAUUCUCUUCGAAGUCCUUCAACAAACUGCUUGCGAUCAAGCUUUCAUGGCUCUUAUCGGAAAUCCAUCCAAGUUUUCUUUACUUCUCGAAGAUUUGAAGAAAGCUUGUCACAACUGCUUUAAGAUCAAGUAUCGAAGCCGUUCACCGAAGUUCAAGGGGAUCAAAUUGGAGAAUCCGUUCAUUCUUUAUGUAAAACAUAUUUAAGAGGAUUGUACCCAUCUAUUUACAAUCUGAUGUUAUGUAUCCACUAUUUGAUUUCUAUUGUUCUAGAAUCGAAAU